GCAAGCACCACUAUUAAUUGAAAGAGGGAAAGGAAAACUAUCCCAGUGCCUACUACUCGCAGAGUGUAAGACACUCAGUAUUUUCAGUGAGUUUGCAUUUGAUCCUUACGAUACUGUAAGGCUUUACCCACUUUUUAAAAAAAGAAUUAUUUACUCAUGAGAGACAGAGAAAGAGGGAGAGAGUGAGGCAGAGGGAGAAGCAGGCUCCAUGCAGGGAGCCCGACGUGGGACUCGAUCCCGGGUCUCCAGGAUCACGCCCCAGGCCAAAGGCAGCACUAAACCAAUGAGCCACCUGGGCUGCCCAGACUUUAUCCAUUUUGUAGCUAAAAUCUUUGAGCGUAAAAAUUACAUGAGAUGACUAUCGGCCAGGUCAGCUGCAGAUUUAAUUAAGCCUGAGGAAGUAGCUGGAUGCUUGCCCUGAAGUCACCAGGCAGGGUUAAAAUUCAUGGACACUAUACAGACUUUUGAUUUCCACGACUCCGAUUACUGGUACUAUCGACAACGAUGACGAUGAUAAAAGCUGAUAUUCAUCAAGCUGUCAUCAUGUAACAGACCAAAUGGAUCAAUUGCAUUUUCACAAAUUUAAGAGGUUACUAUUACCGUUUUCUAACUAAAAAACAGGCUGGAGAGUUGAUGCAGUAUCUCCGCAUUCACAGGAUGAUUCAGUCGAAGAGCUGCAUGCUCUUGGAUUCCCCAGCAGCCUCUCCCUGUUGUGCCUACACAGUAUGCCGUGCUGCCUCCCUGGUGACUGAAAGAACUGGCACACUGCAUAGUCAUCCAUAAGAGGCCUGGACAAUUACGUGAUUCUUAAUACUUACAAAUGGAAGGAGAGUCAGAACUGGUUUUUGAAGAAAGAAGAUAGUUUUAAGAUCUAUAAGGAGCAAUUGAAGAGAGUGUAUAUGCUGAUGCAACAAGGUGUCAGUAUAGGGACGCCUGGGUGGCUCCGUUGGUUAAGUGUCUGACUUCAGCUCAGGUCAUGA